rnacentral:tRNA from 1 species
UGUCCAAUGCGGGAAUCGAACCCGGGUCCUAGUGGUUGAAAACCAAACGGUUUAACCAGCCUUCCACCGACCCCCUACAUUAGCC